rnacentral:rRNA from 1 species
GGGCCCGCACAAGCGGUGGAGCAUGUGGUUUAAUUCGAUGCAACGCGAAGAACCUUACCUACUCUUGACAUCCACAGAAUCUAAAAGAGAUUUUAGAGUGCCUUCGGGAACUGUGAGACAGGUGCUGCAUGGCUGUCGUCAGCUCGUGUUGUGAAAUGUUGGGUUAAGUCCCGCAACGAGCGCAACCCUUAUCCUUAUUUGCCAGCGAUUCGGUCGGGAACUCUAAGGAGACUGCCGGUGAUAAACCGGAGGAAGGUGGGGACGACGUCAAGUCAUCAUGGCCCUUACGAGUAGGGCUACACACGUGCUACAAUGGUACAUACAAAGGGCUGCAAUCUCGCAAGAGCUAGCUAAUCCCAUAAAGUGUAUCGUAGUCCGGAUUGGAGUCUGCAACUCGACUCCAUG